rnacentral:rRNA from 1 species
GAUGAACGCUGGCGGCGUGCCUAAUACAUGCAAGUCGAGCGAAUGGAUUAAGAGCUUGCUCUUAUGAAGUUAGCGGCGGACGGGUGAGUAACACGUGGGUAACCUGCCCAUAAGACUGGGAUAACUCCGGGAAACCGGGGCUAAUACCGGAUAACAUUUUGAACCGCAUGGUUCGAAAUUGAAAGGCGGCUUCGGCUGUCACCUAUGGAUGGACCCGCGGCGCAUUAGCUAGUUGGUGGGGUAACGGCUCACCAAGGCAACGAUGCGUAGCCGACCUGAGAGGGUGAUCGGCCACACUGGGACUGAGACACGGCCCAGACUCCUACGGGAGGCAGCAGUAGGGAAUCUUCCGCAAUGGACGAAAGUCUGACGGAGCAACGCCGCGUGAGUGAUGAAGGCUUUCGGGUCGUAAAACUCUGUUGUUAGGGAAGAACAAGUGCUAGUUGAAUAAGCUGGCACCUUGACGGUACCUAACCAGAAAGCCACGGCUAACUACGUGCCAGCCGCCGCCGUAA